GAUUUCUGCACAGUGCUCUGAAUGUAAACGUGAAGAAAUUUGAGCAAGCGCAAGUAAACGGCGGGAGUAACUAUGACUCUCUUAUGAACCCUCGUGCGGUGUGUGUGUGUGU
rnacentral:ncRNA from 1 species